CAGUCGCGUCUGCUAGAACUCAGCCUUGCUUUGGCUUGGUGCAUUUUCUAGUUGACGGGCCAGCAUCAGUUUUGACUGCUAGAAAAAGGUUAGAGAAAUGUGGCACCUCCGGGUGUGUUAUAGCCCCCUGCUGUAUACACUGGUUGGGAUUGAGGUUUCAGUGCACGCUUCGGUUGUGCUUUGAUGCUGGCGUAAUGGCUUUAAGCGACCCGUCUUGAAACACGGACCAAGGAGUCUAACAUGUAUG
rnacentral:rRNA from 1 species